UACGUAGGUGGCGAGCGUUGUCCGGAAUUACUGGGUGUAAAGGGCGUGUAGGCGGGGACGUAAGUCAGAUGUGAAAUUCCUGGGCUCAACCUGGGCGCUGCAUCUGAAACUAUGUCUCUUGAGUGCUGGAGAGGAAAGCGGAAUUCCUAGUGUAGCGGUGAAAUGCGUAGAUAUUAGGAGGAACACCAGUGGCGAAGGCGGCUUUCUGGACAGUAACUGACGCUGAGGCGCGAAAGCGUGGGGAGCAAACAGG
rnacentral:rRNA from 1 species